rnacentral:rRNA from 1 species
GACGAACGCUGGCGGCGUGCUUAACACAUGCAAGUCGAACGAAGUGGCGGACGGGUGAGUAACGCGUAAUCAACCUGCCCUUCAGAGGGGGACAACAGUUGGAAACGACUGCUAAUACCGCAUACUGAAGGAGGGGAUUGCGUGUGAUUAGCUCGUUGGAGGGGUAACGGCCCAACAAGGGGAUGGUCCGUAGCCGGUCUGGGGGGGUGAACGGGCACAGUUGGACUGGGACACGGCCCAGACGCCUACGGGAGGCAGGCGGGGGGAAUCUUCCGCAAUGGACGGAAGUCUGACGGAGCAACGCCGCGUGAGUGAUGACGGCCUUCGGGUUGGAAAGCUCUGUUAAUCGGGACGCGGUACCGGAAUAGAAAGCCACGGCUAACUACGUGCCAGCAGCCGCGGUAAUAC